UUGUGUCUGUUUGAGUUGAGUCACCUUGGCUGUUCUCCGAGGCGGUCCGGUCAAGCAGCCCGGAGCCGGGCCCCGUCUCCCCGGGCGGCGGCUCCAGGCCCCGGGCCGUGGAGGAUGGAGAGGCAUUCUGGCUGCUUGGGUGAGACGAGGUAGUGGCCCUUUGUUGGAUCUCUUCCUCAACCCCCUGGCGGUAGUACUUCAGCUUGAGCUCUGUGUACCUCAGCAUGGCCCUUAUCUUGUCGUUUUCCUUCUCCUUCAGAGACUUCUCCCGCUGCACUGCCGCCUUGUCCCGCUGCAGGGCGGCCACCUGGGCCUUCAGCUCCUCGAACUUCACUCCCACGAUGCGCAGCAUUUCAGCCAGGACCGUCUCAACUGCCCCAUUCACCGCUUGCUCCACCACCGUGCCCAUCUGGCCCCGGAUCAGCGACACCGCGAUGCUCACGUCCAUGUUGGACCCCGACCAGGAUCCUGAAGCCACAGGACCGCACAGUAAACAACACAGGAGCUAACCCCAAACCCACAGGAGCUAACCCCAAACUGAACUAACCCCAAACCCACAGGACCUACCCGACCCCAAACCCACAGGAACAAACCCCAAAACCCACAGGACCUAACCCCAAACUAAUCCCAAACCAACAGGACCUAACCCCAAACCCAAACUAACACCAAACCCACAGGACGUAACACCAAACCCACAGGACCUAACCCCAAACCCACAGGACCUAACCCCAAACCCACAGGACCUAACCCCAAACAACACUAAACCAACAGGACCUAACCCCAAACUCACACGGUUGUUUCAAACAACGGAGGAAUUAUCUAAACAAUUCGACAUUCUAGAAGAAUCCCGUUUUAGUGUAAAUCCGCUACUGGGUACCGAGGCUGGAUUAAACCAGAAAUUAGGUCAGCCCGUCUGUGUUGACCACAUUAGUCCGCUCCUAGGCACCAAAGCAGGACUAACAAAUACGUUAGGUCGGCCUACAGGUCUGUGUGGACCACAUUAGUACGCUCCUAGGCACCGAGGCAGGACUAAACCAGACGUGAGGACGGCCUACAGGUCUGUGUGGACCACAUUAGUACGCUCCUAGAUACCGAC
ensembl:lncRNA